rnacentral:rRNA from 1 species
UACGGGGGUGCAAGUGUUAUUCAUCGGGAUUGGGCGUAAAGGGUAUGUAGGCGGUAUAUUAAGUCAAUGAAGAAAUCUCACCAACAGUGAACGACCUUAUGAUACUGAUAUACUAGAGUGGUAGGGAGAUUAACGGUACUCUUAGUGGAGAUGUGAAAUGCGGAAAUAUUAGGAGGACUCUCGAAGGUUAUAGCAGUUGACCAUAUUCUACUGACGCUGAGGUACGAAAGCGUGGGUAGCAAAUGGG